rnacentral:rRNA from 1 species
UACAGAGGGGGCAAGCGUUGUUCGGAAUUACUGGGCGUAAAGGGCGCGUAGGCGGCCUUCUAAGUCGAACGUGAAAUCCCCAGGCUCAACCUGGGAACUGCGUCUGAUACUGGAUGGCUUGAAUUCGGGAGAGGGAUGCAGAAUUCCAGGUGUAGCGGUGAAAUGCGUAGAUGUCUGGAGGAAUACCGGUGGCGAAGGCGGCAUCCUGGACCGACAUUGACGCUGAGGAGCGAAAGCUAGGGGAGCAAACGGG